rnacentral:rRNA from 1 species
AUACAGAGGGUGCGAGCGUUAAUCGGAAUUACUGGGCGUAAAGCGCGCGUAGGCGGCUUGGUCAGUCGGAUGUGAAAGCCCUGGGCUCAACCUGGGAAUUGCAUUCGAUACUGCCAAGCUAGAGUAUGGGAGAGGGAAGUGGAAUUUCCGGUGUAGCGGUGACAUGCGUGGAUAUCGGAAAGAACACCAGUGGCGAAGGCGACUUCCUGGCCCAAUACUGACGCUGAGGUGCGAAAGCGUGGGGAGCGAACAGGAUUAGAAACCCUAGUAGUCC